AGGAGUGAAGCUGCCAGCAUGUCCUGGGGUCUCCCAGCCUCACAGACCAUCACCUGUAAGAAUGCUGAGAAGUUAAAGCU
ensembl:miRNA